UCAACUCUAGCCCAUCAUUUAUGUUUUGAGGAGCGAGCCCUUAUUCUAUAAAAUGAACUCCCUCACCUUCAACGCCACAAGCCGAGCCAACCAAGGCAACAUAAGUCAUAAGCCGAGCAGCCUCACAACAUGUGUUACUUCUAGUUGAGCAUCAUUUCACAUUGAGCACCGCCUCAUAUUGAGUAUUAGUUCUAUACGACAUCUAGUUACUUCGGCCCACACAUGGACUAAAUUUCAAGUCUCCAGCCAAAAUACUCUCUUGACUGAAGACUUGGGGGACUACUGUUGGUACCAUAUUAUAUUGGUCCUCGUUACUUGGGCUUCCAGACAUUGAGCUCAUGAUUUAUGUAAAAGGGGAGGAGCCCUUAGUCUAUAAAAGGGACUCCUCACCCUCACAAGUUGGAUCCUCACAUACAGAAGCCACAAGGCUCACAAACAAAGAAACUCUCUCAAACUCUCUCAUACUCUCUCUUUCUCUGGGGGACUCCCCCUCACACUUGUAAUCCAUACAUCCAUACAGAGAAAUACAAUCAACAUCAGUGUGGACGUAGCCCAAACAUUAGGGUGAACCACGAUACAUCUUUGUGUUCUUGGGCGUUUGCAUGAUUCAUGGUCGGAUUUACGUUGUUCUAAGACCCCUCCGGUUUUGUGCAUCAACAAUUUGUACCAUAGAAUCGACUCAAAGAUCGAGCAUAAUUACUACGAAAAGUUUCCAUCAAAGCUAAUUGAGUUUAUGGCAUUCAUCUUGUUCAUUUUACAGUGAAUAUAUAGCACCAUAAUAUAUAUGCGUGCAUGAGCGGAUCUAUAGAGGGACCCGGAUGGUCCCAAUAAAAGAUCUUUUGAAGGACCUUCGAGGACCUCUUGGUUCUCUUGGAAGGUGGUGGUGGGGAGGUGGUCGGGACCUCUUCGGUUCCAUAGACGUGCAGAGGCUGAUAUGCAGAGAAGCUGUGAUGUCGAUGGUGACGCCUUGCAACCAUCGUUGUUUGUAGCAAAUUUGCAGAGAAGCUGGGAAGAAGAUGAGACGAGCUGCCCAAUUUUUCUAACAAAACGACAGUGUUUUGCUUAAUUAAAACGUUUCGUUUUAUUAAAUACACUCACUAAAAUGUAAAAAGAAAUAAAAAUAGAACCCAUACAUUACAAUAUUUCAAGAAGUGAGCCCACUCGUCGGUUUUUAGUUCUCUUUCUACUACAGACUCUCUCAUACACCCUACUAUGUUUCAGACCAAAAGGAAAAUUUGGUUGCCCACCUCUUCGGUUUUUAGCUCUGUUUCUGUCUUAAAAAGUCUUGGAUUGUGUACAUUAGGAUAACUUUACAUGUGUGGGCUGUUGGAACUUUAAAUUAGCAAGAACCCUAAAUCACAAUCCACAUACAUGUAUCUGAACAAGAGUUUGGUUAUCAAUUCAAUCCAAAUGCAUUUGAUAGAAAGAAAUUAAUAACUUCUCACCUUUGGCUGAUGUAUG
rnacentral:lncRNA from 1 species